CACUGCACUACAAGCACGUGUUCAGUUGUGCACAGCACAGGACCAUGUGACAGACAUAUUCAGCCUCGUCUGCGAGUUUGUUUGUUACAUGGUCCGGUGAGUUGUGAUAAUACUGGUGUUCAAGUUUCCAGCACAGGUUUAGUUCCCAAAGGGCCUGGCUUGUAAAUUCCAAAUGUUAUCAAAGAACGCGAUCAUAUGAAUAAUGCGCAACAGGCAGAAUAAGGAACACGAGAGACCUUUUCAGUGAUUUAAAAAUAUCGGGCUUGCAGACAAGGAGGAAGGGAGGCCACUCCAAAAGUUGACAUUCUGAACACUCGAUUGAAAUGAAUUCACAUUUAGAGUUCGAUCCCCAGAUCUACCAGUAAGGUCAAAUAACAGUGCAACUUCAAAAGGAGAAAUAUGAAGGUGAUUGUUGACGUAGACACCGGGAUUGACGACGCCACGGCGUUGAUGCUGCUGCUGUCGCGAGCUGAUGUGGAGGUCUUGGCGAUCACGUGUGUACGGGGAAAUAUAGACCUAGACAAAGUGUGCGUCAACACGCUCCGAGUCCUCAAGGAAUGUGGCAAGCAGGAUAUUCCUGUAUACAGAGGUGCAGAUCGCCCCAUCCUUGACAACGAAACGGAUGCGUCUCACUUUCACGGGGUGGACGGAAUGGGUGACGUCACGUGGUCCGAGGAGGUGGAUAUCGCAGACCUACAGUCGGAACAUGCUGUAAUGGCUAUACUAAGACUUAUCAACAAGUAUCCAGGGGAGAUAACUCUAAUUCCCCUGGGGCCUCUGACCAACAUCGCCCUUGCGUUGCGCCUUGAUCCAGACCUUGGACAGAAACUAAAGGAGGUGUUUAUCAUGGGAGGUAAUAUUGAAGGUAAGGGAAGACUGAGCACAUCAGCUGAGCACAACUUCUACUGUGACUGUGAGGCAGCCUUUAUUUCACUGAGAGAGCUGAAGAAUAUAGCUAUCCUCCCGUAUGAGGUUUGCCUCGAUACAAACAUCCCCUGGCUCGUGGAAACGUCACGGUUUCGUCGGAGUUCAACUUUUAUAUCGACCCUGAAGCCGCAUACAUCUGCCUGAGUUCGCUAAAGGCCCCACUGUCUAUUAUUCCGUGGGAGGUUUGUCUGGAUACACAGAGGCAGAUACCAUGGGCUGUCUACGACAAAUGGAUCGGCCUAGGCACCCCGAGAGCUAA
rnacentral:misc_RNA from 1 species